rnacentral:rRNA from 1 species
AACGAACGCUGGCGGCAUGCCUAACACAUGCAAGUCGAACGAGACCUUCGGGUCUAGUGGCGCACGGGUGCGUAACGCGUGGGAACCUGCCCUUAGGUUCGGAAUAACUCCCCGAAAGGGGUGCUAAUACCGGAUAAUGUCUUCGGACCAAAGAUUUAUCGCCUUUGGAUGGGCCCGCGUUGGAUUAGCUAGUUGGUAGGGUAAAAGCCUACCAAGGCGACGAUCCAUAGCUGGUCUGAGAGGAUGAUCAGCCACACUGGGAUUGAGACACGGCCCAGACUCCUACGGGAGGCAGCAGUGGGGAAUAUUGGACAGUGGGCGAAAGCCUGAUCCAGCAAUGCCGCGUGAGUGAUGAAGGCCUGAGGGUUGUAAAGCUCUUUUACCCGUGAUGAUAAUGACAGUACCGGGAGAAUAAGCUCCGGCUAACUCCGUG